rnacentral:rRNA from 1 species
UACGUAGGGUGCAAGCGUUGUCCGGAAUUAUUGGGCGUAAAGAGCUUGUAGGUGGUUUGUCGCGUCUGCUGUGAAAACCCGAGGCUCAACCUCGGGCCUGCAGUGGGUACGGGCAGACUAGAGUGCGGUAGGGGAGAUUGGAAUUCCUGGUGUAGCGGUGGAAUGCGCAGAUAUCAGGAGGAACACCAAUGGCGAAGGCAGAUCUCUGGGCCGUAACUGACGCUGAGGAGCGAAAGCAUGGGGAGCGAACAGGA